rnacentral:rRNA from 1 species
AUUGAACGCUGGCGGCAUGCCUUACACAUGCAAGUCGAACGGCAGCAUGAUCUAGCUUGCUAGAUUGAUGGCGAGUGGCGAACGGGUGAGUAAUACAUCGGAACGUGCCCUGUAGUGGGGGAUAACUAGUCGAAAGAUUAGCUAAUACCGUAUACGACCUGAGGGUGAAAGUGGGGGACCGCAAGGCCUCAUGCUAUAGGAGCGGCCGAUGUCUGAUUAGCUAGUUGGUGAGGUAAAGGCUCACCAAGGCGACGAUCAGUAGCUGGUCUGAGAGGACGAUCAGCCACACUGGGACUGAGACACGGCCCAGACUCCUACGGGAGGCAGCAGUGGGGAAUUUUGGACAAUGGGCGAAAGCCUGAUCCAGCAAUGCCGCGUGUGUGAAGAAGGCCUUCGGGUUGUAAAGCACUUUUGUCCGGAAAGAAAUGGCUCUGGUUAAUACCUGGGGUCGAUGACGGUACCGGAAGAAUAAGGACCGGCUAACUACGUG